AGUUUCAAAUGAAUUAUGUCUGUGUUCAAUUUUAGUUCAUAAUUGAUGAGAAUGAUUCCAUUUUAUUCUUUUUUGAGGAUUUGUACAUACAUGUUCACUGUUUCACUGAUGUUGAGUAUAAACUGCCUAUUGAACAUAGUUUCCCAGUAUUGUUUUUUUUAUCUAGACAAUGGGAAACCACACACAAGCAAUUAUUCCUAAUGUGUGUACCUCGCAACUACAUACAACGCCUCCGCUGUGUAUACGUGUCUCGAAAGGUACGGCACUACUUACAAGACUGUUAUCAAGUGUGAGGCUGAUGGACUAUGGAGUGAACUUGCACCUGUUUGCUCAGGUAUCGAUGAAUGCCUCAACAGGAAGACGUGUCACUACAACGCCAACUGUAUCAACUUGGACGGCAGCUUCAAGUGUGACUGUCAGAAUGGAUAUAGAGACCUGGAGGGGAUCGGGGGACAACGCUGUGCUGUUUUGUCUCAAUAUAGACGAGUGUUCUUCUGGUGGCGAUUUCUAUUGCGCAACAUUCUUCAAUCAGACACGAGUAUGCGUGAACACUGACGGAGGGUUCGUGUGUGUGUGUGUGUAUGUGCAGCAUAGGAUUUACUGGACCCAAAUGUGAAAGCGGUAUUCCUUAAUGAAUAUUUUACAAUCUGGAAUUAUAACUUGAUCAAGUAUAACAAAAUACAUGAACGCAUAUAUUAUUUAAUUUUUAUGUGUUUGCUUCAUUAAAUAUUUAUGUUGAAUACUAGUAUUGGCAAUAUAUGUGUGUACAUAAGCAGCCACUGAAUAGUUUUUUCCAUGUUUCUAAAACGUAGAUAAUAUUUGUUACAUACGAAAUUCGUAAUGGCACAAAACGUAAAACUAAUAAUGUUUGCAGAUAUUGAUGAAUGCAAGCAUAAUACAACGUGCGGUGUAAAUGCAGUUUGUAGCAACACGUUCGGCAGAUUCAAGUGUAAUUUUGCAGAGAUGGCUUUCUACAGGGAAACCCCUAUCUGGGCUGCUUCGAUAUUCCAAGUAUGGACGGAUUUAUAUCGCUCGAUUUUCAACCAUUGUACAAUCAAUAUGGAGGUGAAAAUGCCAGCAAGUGGAAUUCAGCUGUUCAUAACCACAGGGUAAUCGCUCCAUUAUGGACAAACAUCGACAGCAGAAAUAUAACAGACAGUGGACUGUGGAUCCAUGUGUUUACCGACCACCAGAAGGACACGGUAGAGAUUCAGACGAUUUAGGACCUUAUCCACAUGUACACCAAUCAGCCCGAGUUCAAUAUCAGUGUUGCCUUGGUCGCCACGUGGAAACACGUGACUGUCCACUCGCCCUACGAACCCGGAUAUGAGCUAGUUAAACAUCAGAACUUGUCGAUGCAGUGCAUACUGGUGUCAGACGAGAGAUUUACACAUAUAUCAUGUUCAACUAUGACCAAGAACAAUUUAGUAUCAGACCAUUACCGGAUGUGCCUGUUGCUAGUGGAUACACUCAUGUGGAUUUCCAGCGCACCAGUAUUGACGGAUUUAUAUCGCUCGAUGUUCAACCAUUGUACAAUCAAUAUGGAGGUGAAAAUGCCAGCGAGUGGACUUCAGCUGUUCAGAACCACAGUGUAAUGGCUCCAUUAUGGACAAACAUCGACAGCAGAAAUAUAACAGACAGUGGGCUGUGGAUCCAUGUGUUCACCGACCACCAGAAGGACAAG